GGGCGCCGCCAUGUUGGGGCGUGGCUCGUGUGAGGGGGCGGGACGCGCGCCUUCCCUCCGCCUCUCCCCCGUUCUACGCGAUUCGAUUAGGCAUGGCUGCACGCAGGUGUUGCAAAGCUAGAGGAGAGAAAGGAGUACGUUGAAGAAGGGCGUUCCCGCUCAGCUGUGAGCAGAGAGGUGGGACGGAGCUAAAAUCUGGUGUUGAUCGUCGUGUGAGAGCACCUGAGUGAACCUCCAGCAACGAUAACACUGCGUGGAGGGAGCGGAGACAAAGCACAUAAUGGCGCUUGUGCACGUUUGCAGCUGUAACUUUUGCUGCUGUAUAUAUCUUUUACUCUCUGUCAGGAAAGGAAAGUAACCGAGAGAGAACUGAAAGGAAAAAGACACUUUACCUCAUAUUUCCAUCUUCCCAGUUAAAAAAGUGCAUGCAAGAGAACCUGCAAGCUAAGCAAUCAAGUCAGGGAGAGAAACGCCCCCAGCCGACAGCCAGGUAACAAAGGCACCACCUGCGUGUCCCUGUAUUCCUUCUCCUCAGUUCCACCUGAGAAACUCAUCAUUCCCUGAAGACCGCCCCCCCCCCAAAAAAAACAACUAAGGUACUGCAUUUCACACUGAGACUGGGUAAAGGAAUCUGCUACUGUAUAGAGCUUUCUGAGACACAUGAACCCUAGUUACCAGGGAAGUUGUGCUAAAUACACCAUCCCUUCAAAAUAAGGAGUCUUUUCUGCAAACAGAAAGCACAUCAUACUUCAUGCAUUAGACUGGGGUCAGGUUUAGCACACAAACAGCUACAGCCUGCCCAAGAGCAGACAAGCACUACAAUCAAGCCCACCUUUGAGGCUUACAUUCCCAGGGAGCACCUCUCUGUUGGUGAGCACAGAGUCCUGCAGAGCACCUCUCUUCAUCCACUUGGACAAGUUCUCAUCAAUGCACUCCUGCAAUAUACAUUGCUCCUCCAUCAGAUAUUGGCAUAGGCACAGUUCCUCUUGAGCUGGAAACAGAAACAUGAAGAAAGCAUUCUGAAGCAUUGGUGGAGUAGCCUGGCUUGUUGAAUGAAGUACAUAAAAUCCAUGCUUCUAUCUCGAUACUGAAAGGUGUCCCUCACUUCAGUUCUCAUUCUGUAACACUGAAGCAUUGUCUUGAGAACAACUUGAACAUUUCGUUCCUGUUAUCUGUGUCGAAAUUUCCAGAUCACCCCAAACCUCAUAUACUUGCAUAAAAUAAGUGGUGACAGAGGGAAGAGACUGAGUAUUCAGGUGGAGAGAAGAGUGGCAGUUCUUUAGAGUGAGAGAUACGUGACUCACUGGAAAAAAGAGAACUCAUUUUCAAGAUGAAAUGAAAAAAUGCCAUUACUGUGCUAAAUCAAAGAAAUUGUUAUUUUUGCUCUUUCUAACGUGAAGCAAAAGCUGGACAAAUGCAAUUUUCAAAAGGAGAUCCUGCUCUCCAUUAUGAGUAUUCCUGGAAUCAGUAGCUACUGGUUCUAUGGCCAGUGUGAAAAAAAAAACAAAACAAAAAACAGAGAGAAAAUAAAAUUUUCCUCCUAUCUCUGUUCCACUCUCAUUUUAAUACAUCUUCAGACUAAAGCAGUGACAUCUCAUUUUCGACUGAAGACGUUUGGAAAUGGAUCUCCUAAAAAGAUGUCAGCAAACAGGCAAAUAAACACAGAAUGCAUAUCUAAGCUACUGGAUGUUUACAAAAGGUACUGCAGAAGGGAAAAUGUACCAGAUGAAAUGGAAAUUAUUUCAUGAAUCACCUCACGAUUUCACAGAAAUAAGGGAAGUAUUAUUACUGAUUAUUCUCCAUAAAACAAGUUUAAAAACAUACCAUCGUCUAAAAAGGAAAAGUGAAAGGUUUCUAAAUUGGAUAUUUCAAUAUUGCUAAUGAGAAUGAAGUGAGCUGAUGAAUGUUGAAUCAUUCCUUGGCAGUUUUUAAACAAAUAUUAUCAUUCAUUCUCUUUCCUGCAUUGACAGAUGAUGUUUCUUGUUCAAAUGAGGCUUCCUGACUUUUGAUAAAGGCUGCUGAAAAUAGCACUCCCCUUCCCAAGCUGUAUAUUCACUUCUAGCAUAUACUGACAUACUGACAGGGAAUGAAAAUUUGGGAUGCUCUGCAGUGUUCUGCCCUUUCAUGAAGGGUUUGUCUUGUGUGUGAAGUAUGAUGUACACCAUGGUAUCACUAUAUCACAUUACCCGGUGAUGAAUUUAGAAGCUGCCACUGCUGUCUAAUUCAGCAAUCCAUUUUGAAAUUGAGUAGCCUCUUCUCUCCCUUCAAAGUAGGGCAUCAUUAAAUUAAAGUAACCUAUUGUGUGCAGCAGACUAGGCAAGAAGUGGGUGAUGUUCUCCUGCCUUCAGCUGUCUGUCCCUGCCUGCUGGCUGCUUUCAAACGGAGGAGACAAGUCUGAUGGGCUGCUUAAACUCGUUCCUUCACUUCCCUCCAUUCUUAGCCUCCACGGAGGGCAGACUUGGGACUGUAAAGAACAGCUGCUUACCUCACUGAUGCUUUAUAUACUGAUUUAAGUGUGUAUAUGCUCACUUUUAUAUCUUGUUUAUUCAUUACUGUGGAAGGCUAUAGGAAGUUGGAGCUGAGGAGAUGCUUUCCUGCAGGGGGAAAGUUGCAAGGUACAAGACUGAAAAUGGAUUUUGGAUUUGUGGAGCAGGCUGUGUGUAAGCAAAUGCACUUGGAUUCCGUGCUGGCUUUCUCCCGUUACACAGUUUUUGCAUUGUUCUUGAUCAAAAUGGAUGGAAAAUACUGAGGGUGUUCACUUGGUUUUGCUAUACUUGCUAUAAACAUUCUAAAUAGUGCUUUGGUUAAUAGUCAGACGGACAAAUGGGAAGGAAGCCAUCAGGUGGGUAGUCAGGUAGAGACACCUUGUUUGCGUUUACUGUAAGAGCACACUGGAAAUAUUGUUAAUUUAACAUCAAGCAUCCAAAGAUAGCACCAAUUCUAAUUUCAUCAGCAGGUGAGUGUGAAAAAUCGGCCAAUGUUUUCAAUGUAGAAGUGGAAAAAUAAAAAAAUAGAAAGCCAGUUAUGUAUUAAUUGUGAUAGAGCACUAUCUGAAUUUGAAGAGCUAGAAAUUCUGCCCAUUUCAUCGAGACUUGACCUAACAUUUCCCCCUGUGAGUAGAAAAUAUUGAUAUAAUGCACAGGAAUCAUUCUGUUUGUGGUGGGUUUUUGUGGUUGGUUGUCCUUUUCUUUCUUUCUUUUUUUUACUAGCCGUUGCCCAGAUGGCCAGUUAAUUAUCCUUCUGCAGGCAGAAUUAUUUUAUUUAAUGAAUUUUUAAAUGUCAGUGACGUGAAAAACCAUUACUGUGGUUGUAAGUCCAUUACUCACCUUCAGCUUCUAUUUCCCAUCACCCCCCACUUUAGCUUUAAGGAGCAUCUGAAGUGACAGAGCUUUGAUUUCAGUUGAGAGUGCUGAGCACAGAAGUCUUACAAGUAAUACAUUAUUAAAAAAUCGUAGCAAGAAAAUUAAUUUCUACUAUCGUAUACCAUGCUGGGUGUAUCACUUCUAACAAAUGACCUUUUUUUUUCAUAUAUUCAUUGGUAGAUUUACCAGGACAAAAUAAUUACUUUGUUUUCCACCUCUAAGAAAAAAAAAAAAGUCUUUUUCUUGUGCGUGUGUGGUUUUCUUGUUUUGUUUUUAAUUGAAAUAAGUACACAAAGCGAAUGGGUUCUAGAAGAUAAAAAGGAAAAGGAAAGAAAAAAGAAGGAACUGGAAAACCACACAGAAAUGAGGCACUGGCUCCCUGUCAUGUUGUCUGGUCAGUAAUAUUUCUUACUGUGAAAUUCCUGCAUGUUCUCAUGUUCAUGUUUAAAUCCUCCCAGAGAGAUUUUGCAUUGGAUCCUAGUUGAACUCAAGAAGGUAGAUGGUUAUGCGGUUUCUCAUAUUUCUUGCUUUUGAGAGGAACGUCUGUUUAUCCAGAGAGCCUUAUCUGGGCUUGGCGACGAGCACAUUCCACAGCCAGAAGAAGGACCAGACAGGAAAUUGACCCAAAAAAAGGAAUUAAUAAAGCAACAAGUCACUAUACUCUGGACCACCUCAUUUCAGAAUUCUGCUUGAAGCACACUAAAGACUUCAGUGAGACUUUCUGUGACAGCGUGUGGUAAUGAAACUACCCCAUAAGGAGAUGAAAAACAAGAUAUACUCAAUGGGAGGAGCACAUGCUUGUACUUAAAUUCUUCUGUUUCUCCUUCAGUCAGAUGGGCAAAGGAAAAUGCUGUCCUAUCCCAAGAAAUGCAAAGGCAUAAUCAAGUAUGUCUGUGCCUCUCUUGCCAUUUUGAUAUUGGGAACUCAUCCAGCUGCGAACCAAUAGUCUUAUAUGGAAGAUCAGAACUGCUGCUCCUUCGCUUCUUGAUGUAGGAUCUCUCUAUACACAAGCACUGUGCGCGAGUCUUCCCCUUAAAACUUUGAGCACUGCAUAAAUUCUGCUGGUCAAGAGGCUCAGACUGUGAUUUCAAAAGGAACUCCCGUAUUUGUCAACACGUAGCUGAUGAAUGCUCACAGCUAAGAAGUGGUAUUGUGGAUCCCUUUCAUGACUUAUACCUAUAUUUAGUAAGUAUGGAUGACUAACUAAUCCUUUACUGGGAGCAGCUACUGCAAAAUGUAAGUAAGUGCAGAAAUCACCAUCACUGAAUAAAUACUGUGUUGAGUACAGGACGUGUCUUGCAUUAAUAUUUUUGGCCAUUAGAAAUAUUAGAGCAACAGUAGGUUUUAUCACUAGACUGGUUAUGUGUAACCUGUGUCACCUUCCUUUCUUAUCUUUAAAAAUUUCAAGAUGUGAUUUUAUUUCACAGCUGUGAUAACUGCAGAAUAAUCACACCAAUCACCAAGUUACUUGAAAAUAAGUAAGUAACAACAUGAGACAAACCUUAUCUUUACUACAAAGGCAUGCACAAGUUGCUCUAAAUUCUAGCUGGCACUUUACGCACCAAAAGGCUAAGAACUAUUCAAUCACCCUGCUCUUCCAGAACUUCCUUUACUGACUAAUAUAUUCUGGAGAGGUACCUGUGGGAGGAUUGGAGUGAGCCACUGCCUGCAGAGCUAAAUAACAAGCAUGAACACAAGGUACUCACCUAAACAUCCUCCAUGAAAAUGCAGCUGACACACUUGAGGGACGGGAUGCCAUUCGAAAGAAGCAUGGUGAGCAGGGCCAGGGAGAUGGUCCUGUCCUCUACUCUGCGCUGGCAAGGCCUCACCUGGAGUACUGGGUCCAGAUGUGGCGUCCUUUGUACAGGAGAGGCACUGACCUGUUGGAGUGCAUCCAGAGGAGGGUCACAAAAAUGAUCCAAGGGAUGGAACACAUCUCCUAAGAGGACAUGCUGAAAGAGCAGGGGCUGUUCAGCCUGGAGAAGAGAAGGCUCCAGGGAGACCUGAGAGCAGCCAUUCAUAUCUAAAGGGGAGCUACAGGAAAGAAGGGGACAGACUCUUUAGAAGGGUUUAUUGUGAUGGGACAAGAGGAAGUGGUUUCAAGCUAUAAGGGGAAGAUUUAUACUGGAUAUAAGGAAGAAGUUCUUUGCAAUAAGGGUGGUGAGGCACUGGAACAGGUUGCCCAGAGAGGUGGUGGGAGCCCCAUUCUUGGAGACAGUCAAGGUCAGGCUGGAUGGGGCUUUGAGUACCCUGAUCUAGCUGUAGCUGUCUCCGUUCAUUGCAGGGGUGUUGGACUAGAUGGCCUUUAACGGUCUCUUCCAGCUCAAAAAAAUCCAUUAUUCUGUGAUUUUCACCCAGCCUAGUAUCUUUCCUGACAGGCUGUGUAGCCCGGCAGAUAAAGGAAGCAAAAUUAUCCUUCUUGAAUGUUAGCUCUUGCUUAGCAUCUUGGCAAAACCAGUCGGCAAAUAAACCUUUGUUUGACCUUG